GGCAUGGUGCACGUGCCUGUAAUCCCAGCACUCAGAAAGCUGAAGCUGAAGAAUCACCAUGAUUCAAGGCCAGCCUGGGAUGCACAAUGAGAAUCAGCCUCAAAAAAGCUAAACUAAUGGGUACGGCACUGCUCACCGCUAACUCCAGAACCCAGGAGUCUAAGGCAGGAGGGUUGCUACAAGUUCAAGGCCAGCCUGCAUACACAGUGAGUUCACGGUCAGAAGCCUAAACUACACAGUGAGUCCCUGUCUUUAAAAGAAGAAGAAGAAAAAAAAAAAAAAAAACACUCAUUGUAUAUCGUAAGUAGUGAACCAAAUGCCUGGCAAAUAAAAUAUCCUCAACUAAUUUUUUAAAGUAUAUGAACAAGGGAAAUGGAAAAAAAAAAGACACUAGAUUUAUUAUGCUGUACUUU